CCUGAAGGGGUCUCUUCUCACUCUCAGUUCAUCUCUCUGGUUUGCACUGAUGCACCCACCCAGCUGGGCACUCCGUGGUGGACGGAACUGAGGAAGAUCUUUUGCUGUUGCACCCUGGUUCCGCUUGUUUUUGUGACUGUAAUCUUUCCACUUUGAAGAGGGUUCCCCUUCUGCCCUGUUUCCUCGGCAUCCCUUUCUGUACCGCUUUUUCACUUAGCCAUACCUAAGCCGUCAUUAGAUGAAUACAUGAGUGACUCUGAGCCUUUAAAAACUAACAAAGUAGUGUUCAUUAAGAUAAAGCCAGGCAGUCAGGCUUUCUUGUCGCUCACACGGGCUCGUCUUUCCUUUCUUGCCUGAAAUACUGCCUCCUCUGGUGUCGAUUCCCACUGACUGGUUUGCACUAUAGUCUGAGACAAUGCCCACUUUAAUGGAGCCAGAAGCCACACUUAACAUCAGGCCUUUUGGGGGUCCCGUGGUCCCCUGACUGGCUGGGGGCUGAGUGGGUAUUGUAAGCACCUCUGAAGUGAGGGGCUGAGCUGCUCAUUAGGUCCCCAGUAGCUCCCUGAAACACACCGCUGUCCCCUGUCCCUAACCCUAACGCUUGCAGUCUCUGCUUCUCUUGCUGUGUUUUCCUCCUCUGAGCUCUUGGGUUUCAUUCCCCCGAUUCUCUUACUUCAUCCAAGGUCCUCUGCUGACCCUUCCUCCUUCAUGCUGUGACAGCAUGGACUCCUCGCCUGUGUUCCCCAGGAACCAUGUGCUCCCCAGGGCCAUCUCGGAAGUCACUACCCAGCUGGCAGACCAGCCACCGCUGCUCGUUUCCGGGAAGAAAAGGUCACUGCAACAAAUUAUCACAUGCUUGGCGGCUUGAUGGUCAGCAGGGCAGUGCUCCUUAUAAAGUCCCUAAAAUGGAGUCAUUCUUGAUGUCUUCUAGGUUCUGGUGGCUCCAGGUAUCACUCUCAACUCAUCUGACUCUAAUCUCUGUGCUGUUGUGUGCUCUGGCUUUCUAAUAUGGGAAGUGUGGAGAAGGCCUCCUACUGGAUAAAUUGUAAGGAUAAAAUGAGCAACUCAAAGAGAAGAUGAAGCGUAGUGUCUGCCUGGCACACUGUGGGCUCAGUAAAUAAUACCUGCUAUUUCCACAACCAGAUGCUCUCCAGUGCUCAAGAAACAAGAAAAAAAGUUGGAUAGCAAGGGCAAAAGCGUCUGGACCAGGACUUGGCAAACUACAGACAUGGACUGGCUACUAAUUUUUUUGUUUGUUAAUAACUACAAAUGUACAUCCAUUCUCUAUACAUAUUGUUUACAUAUUGUCUAUAGCUACAUUUGUGCUAUGAUGGAAUAGCUGAGUAGUGAGGGACUGAUACCAUAUGGACAACACAAACCCCCAAAUAUUUACUUGGUCUAGAGAAACAGUCAGAUGAGCCAAAUGUUGGCCAAAGGUUCCCAGCUUACAACUCCAGGAGGGGUGGGUUGGCUUUGGCUGUUGUCAGGCACUGAGCAUGAAAAAGAGGAAGAGAAACACUCUACAGGCCAGUAAACCAAGACUUCUGCCCACCUUGGUUUGGUACACCACAGUUAGUAAAAUUAGGUCUGAAUAUAAUAUAUCUAACCUUGAUUUCAAAAGCAUUUCUGUACCGAAUAAUGAAUUUCAUUUCUCAAAACCUUUAAUGCAAAUGUUGGAGGGUACCAACAUACUAUUGUUAAGCUUAUGUCUGCAAAAUUCUACAGUGCUCAAAAUUGAGUGUUGUAACUAUGAAUGUGGUCCUAGUUCAAGGAAAACUCGUUGUUCUAAUUGCUUUCCAAUCUUUGAAACUAAUGUCAAGAUUUACUAGAAAUUUGUUGUUUAAGGCACCAGACACAUAACUUAGCUGAGCCUCCCAGAGCCAACAUGCUGUACCCAUUCAGUAAAACAUGUCAUUAAUUAUCUGACUGUUGCAUCCAGAUUAAUGGGACACUUUUAACAGUGGUAGGAACUGUUAAUAAUAAUUUGAAGUCAGAGAUGGGCUUUGGGUUAUUCCAGUUUGGUCAGGAGUUCAGGUUAUAAUAAAUAAAACAUUAAAAGACUAGAAACAAUUAAGAUUAGCAUCUCACUAGCUCCAAGUUUAGCACCAUGCACAAACACAAGUCUUCAGUGACACUGGGUGGCAUGAUUAAAGUGUCAUUAAGGAUGGACCUUAUUAUUUAGUUACAAUAAAUGUGUCCUCGUUUCUCAUUGUUUAAAUAUUGGUAUAGCAUAAACAAUAAAAGUUACUACAGAUUCUGCCUGCAAAUGUAUGUUAGUGAGUGUGCUAAGGGGUAGCAGAGAAGUCAUACGAGGCACAGGUUCUUCUAUUGGCUAUAGUCGAUGGCCAGAUUCAAGGAGCUGAAACCCAGUUCUCUGAUCAUAAUUUUCCUUUUCUAGAAAAAUUGGCAAAGUGUAGCUGGAAGUUUUUCAGUCCUGCCUGGCCCCGCGGUCUGCAGC